rnacentral:rRNA from 1 species
GCCUCAGUAACGGCGAGUGAAGCGGCAAUAGCUCAAAUUUGAAAGCUGGCGCAAGCCCGCGUUGUAAUUUGUAGAGGAUGCUUCGGGUGUGGUUCCGGUCUAAGUUCCUUGGAACAGGACGUCAUAGAGGGUGAGAAUCCCGUAUAUGGCUGGUAACCUACGCCUAUGUGAAGCUCCUUCGACGAGUCGAGUUGUUUGGGAAUGCAGCUCAAAAUGGGUGGUGUACUCCAUCUAAAGCUAAAUAUUGGCCAAAGACCGAUAGCGCACAAGUAGAGUGAUCGAAAGAUGAAAAGCACUUUGGAAAGAGAGUUAAACAGUACGUGAAAUUGUUGAAAGGGAAGCGCUUGCAAUCAGACUUGCGCGGCGUCGAUCAGCUUGGGUUCUCCCUUGCGCACUCGGCGCCGUUCAGGCCAGCAUCAGUUUCGGCGGUUGGAUAAAGGCCCAGGGAAUGUGAGAGGCUUCGGCCUCUGUUAUAGCCCUGGGUGCAAUGCAGCCUGCUGGGACUGAGGACCGCGCUUCGGCUAGGAUGCUGGCGUAAUGGUUGUAAGCGACCCGUCUUGAAACACGGACCAAGGAGUUGACGACUAAUGCGAGUGUUUGGGUGUUAAACCCAUACGCGUAAUGAAAGUGAACGGAGGUGAGAGUCCUUAAGGAUGCAUCAUCGACCGAUCCUGAUGUCUUCGGAUGGAUUUGAGUAAGAGCAUUAUUCGUCUGACCCGAAAGAUGGUGAACUAUGCCUGAAUAGGGUGAAGCCAGAGGAAACUCUGGUGGAGGCUCGCAGAGGUUCUGACGUGCAAAUCGAUCUUCAAAUUUGGGUAUAGGGGCGAAAGACUAAUCGAACCAUUGAACAAACUACUUAGUGGUUGAGAGGCCUGCCAGCCAGGCCUAGUCGCAGCAGCGGCUAUACUGCAAAACUGCGGGGACAGCUC